GACGAACCGCCCGAACGUUGUUCGGAAUCACUGGGCGUAAAGCGCACGUAGGCGGAUUGUUAAGUCAGAGGUGAAAUCCCGGAGCUCAACUUCGGAACUGCCUUUGAUACUGGCAAUCUCGAGUCCGGAAGAGGUUAGUGGAAUUCCCAGUGUAGAGGUGAAAUUCGUAGAUAUUGGGAAGAACACCAGUGGCGAAGGCGGCUAACUGGUCCGGUACUGACGCUGAGGUGCGAAAGCGUGGGGAGCAAACAGG
rnacentral:rRNA from 1 species